UACGAAGGGGACUAGCGUUGUUCGGAAUUACUGGGCGUAAAGCGCACGUAGGCGGAUUUGUAAGUCAGGGGUGAAAUCCCGGGGCUCAACUCCAGAACUGCCUUUGAUACUGAGGAUCUUGAGUCCGGGAGAGGUGAGUGGAACUGCGAGUGUAGAGGUGAAAUUCGUAGAUAUUCGCAAGAACACCAGUGGCGAAGGCGGCUCACUGGCCCGGUACUGACGCUGAGGCACGAAAGCGUGGGGAGCAAACAGG
rnacentral:rRNA from 1 species